CCCAGUGGCCACGCCGCUCUGAACGUGCCGACCUUGUCUGAUCUCAGAAGCUAAGCAGGGUUGGGCCUGCUUAGUAUUUGGAUGGGAGACCACCUAGGAAGACCAGGUGCUGUAGGCA
rnacentral:rRNA from 1 species